UGAGAGAUGAUCCUGCCUGAGUCAGCACCGAACAUGCUAAACACAGGAAGCAGGAGGGACAGAGGGAGAUUGCUUUGCUCGGGUGCUCAGGCUGUUCUGACAGAGGGAACGUUCGUUUUUUUGUGAAGAAAGGAGGAACAGGGCUGAAAGUUGUGUAGCAGCAGGUAAAUGGGGGAGUCUCCACAAGUCUCAUGGGCGUCCUAAAAAAAGGGUGGAGAUGGUUUUCUCCUGGAACAUGGGAGGACAGAGUGGCAUUUUCUGAUUGGCCGCCACAGAGCACGGGAGAGCUGGAGGAUUUCUGCACCCUGUCAUCGGAAGCUUUGUGUUUAAAGGUUGGAAGUCCAGACAUGAAUAAGAGAGGUUUUCUACUCAGCCUAAAAGGUAAACAUGGGGAAGCAUUGUUUUCUGGAAUUCCAUGUUAACUUUCAAGUUCCUGUCUUGCUUUCAAGGUGCCCACAUAGAUGUUCCCUACAGAAUCCUGAAUAUCAAGAGACCUGGGUCAAAAAGAUAGAGGUAUGAGAGACAAGAUAUCUACUCCCGAAGAGUUCUAUUUCUCCGUCUUCAGAACCUGUGAAUGCCUAUGUACAGCAAAGGGAACUUUGUGAACUUUCUGUUAUGACCGUAGAGGAGGGGAGGGGGAUACUUGCCUUAUUCCUGUGGACCCAAUCUGAUUACAUGAGCUGGAAGAAUUGGGCAUUAGAAAGAGCAAUGAGAUUUCGAGAUGUGGGGACUCCCAACCUUCCAGUGCCGGCCAUGAAGAGGAGGAAGCCUAAAUCAGGGAGUGAAGACAUCUCUCAGGAAGGAAACUGUCAACUUCAAGAAGUAAAUUCUUCCAACAACCUGAACAAGCCUAGAAAUAAACUCCCCCCGCCCCCAGAACAUCUAAAUAAGAGUUCUGCCCUGGCCAACAUCUUGACUUAGCAUUUUAAACAUCUGAACAGAAAACCCAGCUAAGCCAACCUGGACUUGAGCCUAACUGUAACGGACAAAGAAUAGGUCUGUUUUAAGCUGUUAAAAUUUUGAUGAGUGCUACAGUGACAAGUGGACAUUAAUCCACCUAAUGACUAUCACUGAAUGACUGGGGAUUCUGAAAUACUUGUAACCUGGGAGUAUUUUCUAUUCUCCAAACAGUCAGGCCUACUCUGCCAGCGCUGGCUUCUGUUGGAUUCCUAGAAUGUCAAACUGAUACAUUAACCUAUUGUUAAAUGCCACUUUCUUCUGGUUUCCCUGGUGUAAGAAUUUUAAAGAAACUAAAAAUAUCGGAGGCCAUUCUGUAUCUGCUCCCAGGUUGUAGGGAAUAUGUUGUCAAGCCUUUAGCCUCUGCAUCUGCUAAGCUAGGCUUAACUAAUGGUCUGAUUUCCUAUCAAGCUUUAGGGAAGUAAAAAAUGGCUGCUUUCAUAGAAUUAGUAAAUGCCACCGAAACUAAAGGUCAGACCAAGUUGACAUUAAAUACAGUAUUUCCAGUGGGGCAAUGCAGGGUACUUUAAAGAGCAGUGUCUACACAUCCCAGCAUGCCCCAGCAUGCCCCAGCAGUGCCUAUUCACUGAGCACAAUGUUUUGAGCGCUAAUGGAAUCCAGUGAAACUCUUUGUCGGUCCCUGGCCUUUGCCACCUGUGACCCAUUUUAGCCACAAUAAGUCUAUUUUCAUCAACAAAGCCCUCUAAGUGACCAAUGAGAAGCAGGGCCUUGUGGCUGGGCCUCCAUUUAAGAUCUUACAUUCACUCCUGUGGGCUUCUCAGUAGCCAUAGCACAGCCAGCAUUCAGCACCACUGUGAGCUGAGCUGGACACUUGUUUAUCCUGUGGCUGGAUAAUAAUAAAUGUGGAGGCACACUAUUGGAGAUGGAGAUCUUGGUUCCUCCACUCACAAAGCCUGUGUCUGUGGACGUACUUUUAGCCUCUCUGAACCUUGAUUUGCUCAACCAUUUAGUGAGGGUGAUAUUAAAAUACAUGAAUUGAUGUACACUGCUGGCUCAAUAUAUUCUAUCAAUUUUCCCUGCUCUAGUUUUGCUCCAUGGCACUUACUGACAUCUGCAUGUUCUGUAUUUACUGAUGGAUACCUGUUUCUCCUCUACCCCAUAUGUCAUGAUAGAAGGUUCGUGAUAGUAGGGACAGUGGGGACAUUUCCUGCUCAUUGCCCUCUCCAAUGUGAUGGAUUUCACCCAAACUAUAAGUUAAAAUAAAUUUUUCCUUCAACUGCUUUUGUCAUAUCAAGAAAGAAAAAAAGUAAUUGAUACAGAAAAUUGGUUCUAAGAAGAAGGCCUGCUAUUCUUAAUAAACUGACCACGUGGUUAUAGGCCUUUAGAGCUGGUUUGCGGGAAGAAUGUGGAAGAGCAUGAAGGUGAGGGAGAGAACCCCUAGAAUAGUGUUAACAGAGCUUAAUCGCCCAUCCUAAUGGAUGUGUGGAUGGCCAGAAUGACAAGAGAGACGAAGGCAGUGAAAUCCUCCUGAGAUUUCAAAGGAGAAUAAGGACACUAUGAGAAACGUGAUUACAGAAAAUCCAUAAUAUUCUGACAAAAAAAAUCUAACUGCUUUCUACCUAUCUCCUAAAAGCUUGAUGAGGCCUAACUCAAGAGUAGUGUGCUACUUUUUUUUUUGGU